CAGAUGGUGAAACUAUUUGUGCAGAAGGUGGGGGUGGGUAGGGGAAAGGGGAACCUAAAAUUUCACCACAUGGAAAGUUUCUAUAAUCAGAGGUUUUUCUCUGGGUUGUGCAGACUGUGAAGCCAAAAGGGGAGAAUCAUACAGAAGAGUUCUCAAAGGGACAAAACUGGAAGAACUAUACUUAGAAAAAUGUGAUGCUCUUACACCAGUUGGCUUCCCAGAUGAUGCUAGAGGUAAAGAACCUUCCUGCCAAUGCGGGAGAUGUAAGAGACACAGGUUCUAUCCCUGCGUCAGGAAUAUCACCUGGAAGAAGGCAUGGCAACCCACUCCAGUAUUCUUGCCUGGAGAAUCC
rnacentral:lncRNA from 1 species